AAAUUGAAGAGUUUGAUCAUGGCUCAGAUUGAACGCUGGCGGCAGGCCUAACACAUGCAAGUCGAACGGUAACAGGAAACAGCUUGCUGUUUCGCUGACGAGUGGCGGACGGGUGAGUAAUGUCUGGGAAACUGCCUGAUGGAGGGGGAUAACUACUGGAAACGGUAGCUAAUACCGCAUAACGUCGCAAGACCAAAGAGGGGGACCUUCGGGCCUCUUGCCAUCGGAUGUGCCCAGAUGGGAUUAGCUAGUAGGUGGGGUAACGGCUCACCUAGGCGACGAUCCCUAGCUGGUCUGAGAGGAUGACCAGCCACACUGGAACUGAGACACGGUCCAGACUCCUACGGGAGGCAGCAGUGGGGAAUAUUGCACAAUGGGCGCAAGCCUGAUGCAGCCAUGCCGCGUGUAUGAAGAAGGCCUUCGGGUUGUAAAGUACUUUCAGCGGGGAGGAAGGGAGUAAAGUUAAUACCUUUGCUCAUUGACGUUACCCGCAGAAGAAGCACCGGCUAACUCCGUGCCAGCAG
rnacentral:rRNA from 1 species